UAAAGACACAAUAUGUACGAUUUUUGGAUUAAAAUAUCCCAAAACCACUAGAACAAUGUUAUGUAUUUUGACUUGUGGAAGAAGUGAAAAUUAAACCACAAAGCAAAAGGAGCGACAAUGGCAUAUUAGCACGAUAAAAAAACAGCGAAGUAAAAUGUCCCAGGCUCUCAGCCCUGCCCGGCUUCAUACCACUGUAACGUUAAUAAAACUUUAAUACAUACAUCAGUCCUCCUAUGAACAUGAUUUCUGCCCGAGUUAUGUCGGAUUGCUUUCCAUCGGCUGUGGAGGUGAGGAUGACAACUCCCAUGAUUCCACGCUCAUUCAUGACGUCAUCAAGCUAUGGCUUUGUUGUUGUUUUGAAAAAGCGACCUCUAGCGGAGAAACUUACAUACUGUGUCUUUAAUAAUACUUUUAUUAUUGUAUUAAUAAAGUGUUGUUGUUAAAGGUAUAAUGCGAUUAUUACAAUGCUUAGGUAAGUGGACCAAGAAUUGUUCAAUUCCUUUUUCUUAUCCAUUUUGUAGACCCCUCAGACAGAUGUGAAAUAUUAGAAGUACUAGGCACCAAAUUCUUUUUGAUUUAUAUUCUGUUGAUGGGAACUAAACACUCACCCAAAGCUUGACAUUUGAUUUUGAAUAGGUUGGGUAAGUUCAUGGUUUGCAGAGACCCUGGUAGGGUAAAUGGAGGAUGACAGUCGUGUUUUCAUGGUGAGGGUUGUAUAGGGUGACUCCUGCUUCUCUCCUCUUACGGUCUACUGCUUAUUCUUAUAUGGCUGCACUAAAACAGACGUGCUGCUUUUGUCCCUUCGUUCUCGUGCUGUGCUGUUUUGGAGGUGGCUGGUCUCCCCGUCCGACUUUAUCUUUCAA